GAGAGACAACGGUUGGGGCACAAACCCGGCACUGCCCCAAACGUCGAGGGGCUCCAGCGCAAGCUGGGGCCCCUCACCUUUU
rnacentral:sRNA from 1 species